AUUUUUUUGUAUUUAUUAAAAAUGAGUCCUGCUCAAUGUAGUAUAAAUAGCCGCGGUAUUUUGACUGUGCAAAGGUAGCAUAAUAAUUAGUCUUGUAAUUUAAGACUGGGAUGAAGGGAUAAACUAAAAAGUUUCUUUCUUAUUUGUUAUUUUUAAAUUUUACUUUUUAGUAAGAAGGCUAAAAUGUUUCUUUUAGACAAGAAGACCCUAUAAAACUUUACACAAAAUGAUUUAAUAAAUUAGUUAUGUGUUUUACUGGGGCGGUAGUAAGAAAAACACUUUUAGAUUUUUGAAACAAUAUUGUUUUAAGACCUAAAAAUUUUAAAGAUUAAAUAAGUUACUUUAGGGAUAACAGCGUUAUACACUUUGAAAGUUCAAAUUGACGAGUGUGUUUGCGACCUCGAUGUUGGAUUAAAAUUCCUUUACUGCGCAAGAGCGAUAGCAGGAGGUCUGUUCGACCUUUAAAAUUUUCCA
rnacentral:rRNA from 1 species